GACGAACGCUGGCGGCGUGCUUAACACAUGCAAGUCGAACGAUGAAGCCGGAGCUUGCUCUGGUGAAUUAGUGGCGAACGGGUGAGUAACACGUGAGUAACCUGCCCUUGACUCUGGGAUAACUGCUAGAAAUGGUAGCUAAUACCGGAUACGACCCUCGGAGGCAUCUCCAGGGGGUGGAAAGAAUUUCGGUCAAGGAUGGACUCGCGGCCUAUCAGCUAGUUGGUGAGGUAACGGCCCACCAAGGCGACGACGGGUAGCCGGCCUGAGAGGGUAACCGGCCACACUGGGACUGAGACACGGCCCAGACUCCUACGGGAGGCAGCAGUGGGGAAUAUUGCACAAUGGGCGCAAGCCUGAUGCAGCAACGCCGCGUGAGGGAUGACGGCCUUCGGGUUGUAAACCUCUUUUAGUAGGGAAGAAGCGAAAGUGACGGUACCUGCAGAAAAAGCACCGGCUAACUACGUGCCAGCCGCCUCCGUAA
rnacentral:rRNA from 1 species